ACCAUCCUUUACUUGGGGUUGUGUUAUUAUCCAAUGAGCGCACGGUGACGGUGGAACUGCAAGCGUCUACACAACACGCCUGCAUCAACUACAGCUUUGCUUUAUCUUCGUGCAACUUUUGAAAAA
ensembl:snRNA